rnacentral:rRNA from 1 species
UACAGAGGUGGCAAGCGUUGUUCGGAAUUACUGGGCGUAAAGGGUCCGUAGGCGGUGUAGCAAGUCGAUAGUGAAAUCUCUGGGCUUAACCCAGAGGCUGCUAACGAGACUGCUGUGCUAGAGUGUGAGAGAGGCGAGUGGAAUUACGGGUGUAGCGGUGAAAUGCGUAGAUAUCCGGAGGAACAUCCGAGGCGAAGGCGGCUCGCUGGAUCGCAACUGACGCUGAGGGACGAAAGCGAGGGGAGCAAACAGG